rfam:Lactobacillus vaccinostercus DSM 20634 NODE_57, whole genome shotgun sequence.
GUAACCUUUAAGAUAGUCCAGCGAGGCUAAGAAGGAUUCGGAGAAUAUUUAGGAAAUAUUUUGAAGACCUCUUAGUCGCAGUACGAGAUUAAGAGGUCUUUUGUA